CAUUGACGUUAGUCGUUUCUCACUUGCCAAAAGGCAUUUAAAUGGUGCUAUUUUCUGAAAGAAAAGUGUGCUGUAUCAAAUGAAGCCAUCAAAUGAAGAGAAAUAAAAAGGCUGGUGAGGGAAUGACUGUUUAGAGCUGCUAUAACGAAGUGAGACAGCUUACCUGUGGGACCCAUUUAGGCGAGACAAAACUGGUGGCCUCAAUGACAGGAAGUCCCGCCUCUGAGAGCAUGUCAAUCAGACGGAUCUUCACCUCAGCUGGAACGACGG